AAGUCGUAACAAGGUUUCCGUAGGUGAACCUGCGGAAGGAUCAUUAAAAGAUAUGGCAUAUUCCAUGUGGAUAUACCCAAUCAACCCAUUCUGAGUACCUUACCUGUUGCUUCCACACAGUGUCUGUGCAUUAGUACUGACAUCCUGAUGAUAGGUGAAAGCCUAUCGGAGGGAGAUGUGUGGAGGGUAUACUUAUAAACUCUUGCAUUACCAUGUAUUCUGUCUGAUAAUGUUUAAUAUAAACUAUUAAAACUUUCAACAACGGAUCUCUUGGUUCUC
rnacentral:misc_RNA from 1 species